UACGUAGGGUGCGAGCGUUAAUCGGAAUUACUGGGCGUAAAGAGUGCGUAGGCGGUUCGUUAUGUCUGCUGUGAAAGCCCCGGGCUUAACCUGGGAACUGCAGUGGAAACUGGCGGGCUUGAGUAUGGCAGAGGGGGGUGGAAUUCCGCGUGUAGCAGUGAAAUGCGUAGAGAUGCGGAGGAACACCGAUGGCGAAGGCAGCCCCCUGGGCUACUACUGACGCUGAGGCACGAAAGCGUGGGGAGCAAACAGG
rnacentral:rRNA from 1 species